GAAUGUCGGUUGCAUUUGGAUCCUUUUCUUUGUUUAUUUGUUGAUUAAAUUUGAUACUUAAGGACUGUCAACAAACUCCCCCAAACUUACCUCUUGCUCGUCCCUGAGCAAGGAUAAUCUCAGUGAUGGAUCAGAAGUUGUUGGAAUGCCUUUAAAAGUUGAUGGUACACAUGCUUUCAAAUAAGGUCUCAUCUCUGAGUUAGAGUAAACUAUCAAGACUCAAAACUUACUCAUUUUACCUUUCACCAUGGGACAUGUAACCGUCCCUUCUGUCUUGAGCAGUUAAAAGAUAGAACGGUCGUCAAGUGCCAUGUCUCUUAUUCUUGAUCAGCUAUAGCUCUGGAGUUUUUGCAGAUUUUCAAAUAAAACUCCGAGAUUCCUUGUAUGACUCUCUGAGAUCUCUCUUUUGUGGUAUUUCUAGAUCCUUACCAAGGCAGUGAUGGUACAUGCCUUCUCUCAAAAUAUGUAGUAUUUGUGGUAUAAGGCAUAGUGACAUUGCCUUCUCUCUCACCCUACUCUAAUAAGGCUUUUGAUAUCUGGAGCUCAUAGGUGGGAAAUAAAGUAUACAUACUUUCAAGACAUUUAUUGCAUAGUCAAACUGUGGAUCCAAAGAAACAAGCCAAUAAGUCAAAUCAAGAUGUGCAUGUGUGGUGAAUGAAUGGUGUAUGGUGAUGAUGGUGAUAAUAAUGGUGAAAGUCUAAUUCUACUUAUUGCUCUUUUGAGGGGAUACAUACCUUUCUUGCUCUUUUGAAACUUUUGAGUAGAAUGAGAUGCUCUGUAUUUUCUUUUUCUUUCCUCUCGGGUGGGUAUCUUGUUCCCCUAAUUCUACUAUCGGACACUUGUCCAUUUUUACCUCUAGUCUCACUUUUUUCUUUCUUUCGAGGUUCCGGGCACUUGCCCUUUUUUAUUUCCUCGUAUUUUUUUGUUUUUUUAGAGCACUCAUCUCCUGAAAUAAUAUAGCAAGUGGUAGUAACCAAGAUAACUCGAGCAUUUAUUUCACAGGUGAAAAAUAGAAAUAUUUUUUGCUAUUCUCUCCCGGAUUAGGAGUAGAAUAUUUUUUGGGUGGUUCUGGAGAUGGAAAUGGAUGGAUAUAUGUGGAUGCUUACUUCCGGAGUAGAAGCAGCAUGUGUGAGUGAACGUGCAAGUGAAUCUUGAUUUAACCACAUGACAAGCUCCUAAGGGUCUACAUAGCUUGAGCACACUCAAUGCUCAUAAGCAGUAAAAAGUAAAUAUGUGGCUCAAAGUCUAGCAAUCAUGUAUAUAUGGCUAUGGUAGGAAUUUAAACUCUCAUCAUACAGGAACUCAUCAUGUGUUAUUUUAAAGAUUUUCAAAGAUAAAGUUCUCCAGAAUUCUAGCAUCUCUAAGAACAGAUAAACAACAGCUCAACCUUCCCAUAUCAUAUCCGUUAACAACUUAGACUUUAGAUCAAGUUUUCUUCCCACAAGUUCAGGUUUAGAGCAAGCUUUAAAUUAUAACAGUUAUGUCUAAACUAGAGAGAGAACUUCAAAUUUGAAAUUUAGGCAGAGCAAUGUAACAUCCACGAUGUUACGGUUACUAAAAUUGGAUCAUGUCAUCAUGAGCAUUGCAUCGCAUACCUGUUAAGCACAUUAUUAUGCAUCAACUUAAAAUAAGUUUAAUUUGGUUGAAUGUGUUAGGGAAUUAAAGUGUGCUUACAUUGUGUAGUGAUGCUUGUGCUGGUUGCUAAAACCCUAGGGUGAAAGGUUUCCGAAAGAUUAGGGGGGGAAAACCCUGAUUUUUGAACCCUAGAAUUGCCCCCUUUUGCACAAUUUAAAAACCAAGCAAAAUUUGAGGUUGAGUUCAAAAGAAAAGUUGUAGCUCUUGUCAAGAUGUACAACUUUGGUGUUUUGAGUUUUUGAAGUUUCAAUACAAAAUUCAAAGUAAUUUUGAAAAUACAGAUUUCCACAAAGUGUCCCCUUUUCUAGUUUGAAUCUCCAAUUCAAAUCUAUUUG
rnacentral:lncRNA from 1 species